GCCAACAUGGUGCAGUGGUUUGCAUGUUGGACUAUGACUCUAGAGAUCAUGGUUUGAAUCCCAGCUUGGCC